CAAACUGUGACUGAGCUCCUUUCAUGUACAUUGCUCAUGAGAGUCGUUGAAUUAUUUCAAAAUGAUCGUUUGCAUGGAACAAUCUAUGUAAUGCAUUAGCUUUAGAAAGAUGAGGCAGAAAAUCCCCAGAGAAACCUUCUCAAUCUGAAAAUAAUGGGCAAUAACAUAUCACAAUCUCGCAUUUCUAACUCUCCAGGAUUACCAGAAGCAAAUUAGGCAGAUAAUUUUUUUGGGGAAAAAAAAGCAUUAGUGUACAUACUAACAUAUACUAAUUAUGAUGUCACUGUUCUUUCCGCAGACGUCUUAACUGAUGAGGCGUAGUACAUCAUUGCAACUUGAUAAAGGCUGUUUUCAACCAUGGAAACAAUCUAGCAGCAAGUGUCUGGCUGCUGGAUGCAAGUGAUGCUUAACACGUUUCUGCCCGAAGUCAGGAUUGACUGGGAGACAGGACUUACACCCGUUUGAACCACGAGAAAGUCAUUCAUCGAAGAUUUAGUUAGAGGUAGAAUACAGAACUUAAUAAGACGUUGCUUGAAGAUUAUUUUUAAAAAAUCGGAGCUAGAAAUUUCUGUUCUGUUCAAAAGGUCAAUUAAUUUCAUAAGUCAAUCAGCAUCUUUUUUACCAUCUUGAGUCGUCUGGGAAGCGACAAAUUUUCGAGCAGUAUUUAUAAAACGAAGACGGCAAGACUGAUCCGUGCGGUAGUGAGAGAAGGGUGCAAAAGGUUAAAGCAAGAAGAUAUGGACUAGUGCAAAGUAGAAGCUAUAAUUUUGUAACAAAGGUUUGCCAAGUUUCUACCAACUUGAGUACUUGAGUAAUAGUUUGUACUUUGUACCAGUCCAACUUUUUGCUUUCAUUUUUUUCGUCUUCCUUUUCACUGCGGUACGGAUCAUUAUUGUCGUAUAGGGCUAGAAAUAUCUUUUCUGCCAUGAUGACUUGUCUGAGAGUUCAAAAUUUCACAAAACAUUUAUUUUCAAAUCACUUUUGAAUUUAUCUGUGAUAUCAAGAAAUUUCCAGGCCAGUGUUAUGUCAAUUUUUUUACUGAAAGUUGUUUCCUUGUUAACAUCGGUUUGACCGUGUUACAUUUUCCCGCGAAAAGACUUACGAGCGCUUCAAAUACGCAUGCAUCAAUUUUUAAAAAAAAAACAUAUCAGAGUUCCUUCUCUCUUCAUGCACUCCUUUCGAAAAUUUUAAAAUUUUCCCGCCAAAAAACUUAGAAAAAUACGGGCGCUCAAAAUACGCAUGCGCCGUUUUAUAUUUUAAAUUUUUCCAGUUAGCAGUCUACAAAAUUGUCAACAAUAAAAUUUAUUUCUCAUG